UUCCGGUUGAUCCCGCCGGAACUCACUGCUAUGGGGGUGGGACUAAGCCAUGCGAGUCUUCCCGCAAGGGAGGCGGACGGCUCAGUAACACGUAACUAACCUGCCCUCGGGUGGGGGAUAACCUCGGGAAACUGAGGAUAAUCCCCCAUAGGUGAGGGAAUCUGGAAGGAUCCCUCGCCGAAAAGCAUUGCUGCCCGAGGAUGGGGCUGCGGCGGAUUAGGUUGACGUUGGGGUAACUGCCCAACGCGCCUAUAAUCCGUAGGGGCCCUGAGAGGGGGAGCCCCGAGAUGGACUCUGAGACACGAGUCCAGGCCCUACGGGGCGCAGCAGGCGCGAAACCUUCCCCAUGCGCGCAAGCGUGAGGGGGUCACCCCCAGUGCUCCCCACGCGGGAGCUUUUCCCAGGUGUAAAUAGCCUGGGGAAUAAGGGGUGGGCAAGACCGUUGCCAGCCGCCGCGGUAAUAACGGCGCCCCAAGUGGUGAGCCCUAUUAUUGGGCCUAAAGGGUCCGUAGCCGGGCAUGUAAGUCUCCUGUGAAAUCCACCAGAUGACUGGUGGGCGUGCAGGAGAUACUGCAUGCCUUGGGACCAUGAGGGGCCGAGGGUACUCACGGGGUAGGGGUGAAAUCCUGUAAUCCCGUGGGGACCACCUGUGGCGAAGGCGCUCGGCUGGUGUGGUUCCGACGGUGAGGGACGAAAGCCAGGGGAGCAAACCGGAUUAGAUACCCGGGUAGUCCUGGCCGUAAAUGAUGCUCGUUAGGCACCGGGAGCUCUGAGGGGGCUCUCGAUGCCGUAGCGUAGGCGUUAAACGAGCCGCCUGGGGAGUACGGCCGCAAGGCUGAAACUUAAAGGAAUUGGCGGGGGAGUACACAAGGGGUGGGGUCUGCGGUUUAAUUGGAGUCAACGCCGGA
rnacentral:rRNA from 1 species